rnacentral:miRNA from 1 species
AGAGUGUGUGUGUGUGUGUG